GGCAGCCCCAUCAAAUUCAGCGUCGUCCGCUGCGGUUGCUGCUGGCCCAGCCGGCAGCUACGGAAAUAUCUGCAGCUUCUGGGCCCCACGUCGUGGGAUCACGGGGUUGGUUUGGGUUGGAAGAGACCU